GACGAACGCUGGCGGCGUGCCUAAUACAUGCAAGUAGAACGCAGUUGCGAACGGGUGAGUAACGCGUAGGUAACUUCCUCAUAGCGGGGGAUAACUAUUGGAAACGCUAGCUAAUACCGCCUACUGUGAGAUGGACCUGCGUUGUAUUAGCUAGUUGGUGAGGUAAAGGCUCACCAAGGCGACGAUACAUAGCCGACCUGAGAGGGGUAUCGGCAAAACUGGGAAUGAGACAAGGCCCAGACUUCUACGGGGAGGAGCCGUAGGGGAAUUUCGGCAACGGGGGGAAGUCUGACCGAGGAAAGCCGCGGGAGUGAAGAAGGUUCUCGGAUCGUAAAGCUACGUUGUUAGAGAAGCGGUAACUAAACAGAAAGGAACGGCUAACUACGUGCCAGCAGCCGCGGUAAUAC
rnacentral:rRNA from 1 species